AGAGCGAAAAAGCGUGCGAUAUAGUGGUGAAUUAUUAAUUAAUUAAUAAUAGUGGUGUUAAAUAGAUUAUUGAGUAGUGAAAAAGGUGUUUGAUUACGUGACAAUAUUACUAACAUUUAUUUCAAAGUGCUUAUAGAAAGACUUAUUACUUCAGUGCAACCGGAGUGCAGUGUCGGAGAAACAAGUUAAUCAUUAAUUUGGAAACUUCGUGUCUGUAACUUUGAAGACGUUGAGUUUUUGUACCGUUAAGUCCGUUUACAAGGAGCUCUCUCUCGUUUCGCACCGGAAAAAGGAAUACUUUCCCGCGGAAUGAAAGGCUUCUGCAAUACCACGUUUUGUUUUAUGGAACAGGGUCAUCCUCAGGCUUUUCUUGUGUGCAUCCAUGAUCCUUCUUACUAGAUCCAUGGAUUAAUCGAAGCAAGGAUUUAG